rnacentral:rRNA from 1 species
CACGAGCGGCAGCGGGAAAGUAGCUUGCUACUUUUGCCGGGGAGCGGCGGACGGGUGAGUAAUGCCUGGGGAUCUGCCCAGUCGAGGGGGAUAACUACUGGAAACGGUAGCUAAUACCGCAUACGCCCUACGGGGGAAAGCAGGGGACCUUCGGGCCUUGCGCGAUUGGAUGAACCCAGGUGGGAUUAGCUAGUUGGUGAGGUAAUGGCUCACCAAGGCGACGAUCCCUAGCUGGUCUGAGAGGAUGAUCAGCCACACUGGAACUGAGACACGGUCCAGACUCCUACGGGAGGCAGCAGUGGGGAAUUUUGCACAAUGGGGGAAACCCUGAAGCAGCCAUGCCGCGUGUGUGAAGAAGGCCUUCGGGUUGUAAAGGACUUUCAGCGAGGAGGAAAGGUCGGUAGCUAAUAUCUGCUGGCUGUGACGUUACUCGCAGAAGAAGCACCGGCUAACACCGA